CCUACGGGCGGCAGCAGUGGGGAAUAUUGCACAAUGGGGGAAACCCUGAUGCAGCGACGCCGCGUGAGUGAAGAAGUAUUUCGGUAUGUAAAGCUCUAUCAGCAGGGAAGAAAAUGACGGUACCUGAUUAAGCAGCCCCGGCUAACUACGUGCCAGCAGCCGCGGUAAUAAGUAGGGGGCCAGUGUUAUCCGGAUUUACUCGGUGUAAAGGGAUAGUAGACGGCAGCAAAAGUCUGGAGGGAACUGCCGGGGCUUAACCCCGGAACUGCUGUGGAAACUGUGCAGCAAGAGUGCAGGAGAGGUAAGUGGAAUUCCUAGUGUAGCGGUGAAAUGCGGAGAUAUUAGGAGGAACACCAGUGGCGAAGGCGGCUUACUGGACUGUAACUGACGUUGAGGCUCGAAAGCGUGGGGAGCAAACAGGAUUAGAUACCCCAGUAGUC
rnacentral:rRNA from 1 species